AUCCAACUGACGAGUCCCAAAUAGGACGAAACGCCCGUCAAACUGGAU
rfam:Schistosoma rodhaini strain Burundi genome assembly, scaffold: SROB_scaffold0022697